rnacentral:rRNA from 1 species
UACGUAGGGGGCUAGCGUUGUCCGGAAUCAUUGGGCGUAAAGAGCUCGUAGGCGGUUUGUCGCGUCUGCUGUGAAAACCUAAGGCUCAACCUUGGGCUUGCAGUGGGUACGGGCAGACUAGAGUGCGGUAGGGGAGACUGGAAUUCCUGGUGUAGCGGUGAAAUGCGCAGAUAUCAGGAGGGAACACCGGUGGGCGAAGGCGGGUCUCUGGGCCGAUACUGACGC